rnacentral:lncRNA from 1 species
AGAUCGCUCCCCACGCCCACUCCUCCUUCUCCCACGCCGCCUUCUCGCCGCCUUCUUCGCCCCCCUCCCUGCAUCGUGGCAGCGCCGCGUCGCCUCCUCAUCUCGCGGCUGCGUCGCCUCCUCACCUCGCCGCCAACGCCGCCGCCGUCGACUCCGCUCCAGAUCCCCGCGUCGCCUCCUCACCUCGCCACCAACGCCGCCGCCGGCGACGUUGCCGCUGCCCACCCGCCCCAGCCGGCGACGCUGCCGCUGCCCACCCACAACUCAUCUCGCGGCUGCGUCGCCUCCUCACCUCGCCGCCAACGCCGCCGCCGUCGACUCCGCUCCAGAUCCCCGCGUUGCCUCCUCACCUCGCCACCAACGCCGCCGCCGUCGACUCCGCAUCAAAUCCCCGCGACCUCGCCCCAUCCGCCCCAGCCGGCGGCGGCCGAUUGCCAGAUCCCCGUGUCGCCUCCUCACCUCGCCGCCAACGCCGCCGCCGGUGACGUUGCCGCUGCCCACCCGCCCCAGCCGGCGACGCUGCCGCUGCCCACCCACAACUCAUCUCGCGGCUGCGUCGCCUCCUCACCUCGCCGCCAACGCCGCCGCCGUCGACUCCGCUCCAGAUCCCCGCGUUGCCUCCUCACCUCGCCACCAACGCCGCCGCCGUCGACUCCGCAUCAAAUCCCCACGACCUCGCCCCAUCCGCCCCAGCCGGCGGCGGCCGAUUGCCAGAUCCCCGUGUCGCCUCCUCACCUCGCCGCCAACGCCGCCGCCGGCGACGUUGCCGCUGCCCACCCGCCCCAGCCGGCGACGCUGCCGCUGCCCACCCACAACUCAUCUAGCGGUUGCGUCGCCUCCUCACCUCGCCGCCAACGCCGCCGCCGUCGACUCCGCUCCAGAUCCCCGCGUUGCCUCCUCACCUCACCACCAACGCCGCCGCCGUCGACUCCGCAUCAAAUCCCCACAACCUCGCCCCAUCCGCCCCAGCCGGCGGCGGCCGACUGCCAGAUCCCCGCGUCGCCUCCUCACCACGCCGCCAACGCUGCCGCCGGCGACGUUGCCGCUGCCCACCCACCCCAGUCGGCGACGCUGCCGCUGUCCACCCACAACUCAUCUCGCGGCUGCGUCGCCUCCUCACCUCGCCGCCAACGCCGCCGCCGUCGACUCCGCUCCAGAUCCCUGCGUUGCCUCCUCACCUCGCCACCAACGCUGCCGCCGUCGACUCCGCAUCAAAUCCCCGCGACCUCGCCCCAUCCGCCCCAGCCGGCGGCGGCCGACUGCCAGAUCCCCGCAUGUGCAAAUGUUUUCUUACUUUGUCGAAUUUUCAAUUGCAUAAUCCUCAUAUUUGCUUCCAAUUUCCAAUUUAAGAUUGUUUGUUCUGCAAUGGAUAACAAUGGUGGGAGUUCUGUGCCAACAUCGUCAACAAGAUCAGGUCCUUUUGCUGAUAUAACUAAUGUAAUUGAUGCCAAUUUGACGAACAACCAUCCCGCUGCUAAUAAAAAUGGAACUAAUGUGCCAAAAGAUCGUGAGAAUUGCCAGCACAACAACUUGGACUCUACAGAUAAUGGGUCUCAAGCUGUGACAUCAAAUAAAAUUACUACUACGGCCUCAUCUGUUUCAGCUCCGUUUGGUGAUAUUAAAAUUGCAAGCACUGAAGAUCAAUCAGUAGGGGGCCGGUUGGAUGUUAAUGAUGCAGGCACUGAAAAUGUGGGUUCUAUUGUAACGCCUGUGCGUCUACCAUUUACUAACAGUUCUGAUAUGUCCUACAGUACACCCAGCGAGUAUACCAUGCCUCUCCAGGCAGAAGGUCCAUUCAAAUAA